rnacentral:rRNA from 1 species
AGCAGCCGCGGUAAUUCCAGCUCCAAUAGCGUAUAUUAAAGUUGUUGCAGUUAAAAAGCUCGUAGUUGAAUUUCGGGAUUGACACAUCGGUCGUGCCUUAAGGGGUAUGAACUGGUGUAGUCAAUUUCUCACCUUCUGGAGAACCGCGAUGCCCUUAAUUGGGUGUCGCGGGGAACCAGGACCUUUACUUUGAAAAAAUUAGAGUGUUUAAAGCAGGCAUUUUGCUUGAAUACAUUAGCAUGGAAUAAUAAAAUAGGACGGCAUGAUUCUAUUUUGUUGGUUUCUUAGGAUCACCGUAAUGAUUAAUAGGGAUAGUUGGGGGCAUUAGUAUUCAAUUGUCAGAGGUGAAAUUCUUGGAUUUAUUGAAGACUAACUACUGCGAAAGCAUUUGCCAAGGAUGUUUUC